rnacentral:rRNA from 1 species
UACGUAGGGUGCGAGCGUUGUCCGGAAUUAUUGGGCGUAAAGAGCUUGUAGGCGGUUUGUCGCGUCUGCUGUGAAAUCUCAAGGCUCAACCUUGAGCUUGCAGUGGGUACGGGCAGGCUAGAGUGUGGUAGGGGAGACUGGAAUUCCUGGUGUAGCGGUGAAAUGCGCAGAUAUCAGGAGGAACACUGAUGGCGAAGGCAGGUCUCUGGGCCACUACUGACGCUGAGAAGCGAAAGCAUGGGGAGCGAACAGG